CAGUGGAUUGGUCUUUGAUGAAUUAAUAGCUGAAUGGACUUUUAGAAAGUGUGAUCUGGUUGGAGGAGCUAAGUCUUUGGGAAUGUGGCCUUAAAAGGUAGGUCUUGUGAUCUUGUUUCUGUUCCCCUCCACACACACCUCUCUGCGUCUCUCACGCUUGUUGGAGUCAUUCCACAAACCACAUGAACACCAAUCUCAGCCAGACAAGGAUGCUUUAUUGAACGCACACCCUGAUACUGAUUGGAUCAGAGGCAUAGCUCAGAAUUAUCUGAACUACAAUAACAAACAUUUCUCAGGGCUGGUUUAUAAAGGAAAAAACCACAGAACCCACAAUGAACUCAUACACAGGUGCAGGAAGUACUGCCCAAGGCUCAGCUCUGACUCAAGCCGUUUAAGACAUGAUAGUUCACAUUGACCUUUAACUUGAUGGGUCCUAUGUAAAGCUUUGUAGAAUUAAGAUUAACAAACCUCAGAACAUACAGAACAUAACAGGGGAAGUGGUCACCCUGCACCUGUUUUGAGUCAAGUUAUUUUUCUGUGUCAAUGACUGGCAGGCAUAUUACAUCAACAAUAUGAAAUAGCUGGCAGGCAUGGAACAAAAUGGCUACAGCUAUGCUGGGGGGGCAGGCUUCAAUAAUGCUGUCUCUUACUGUUCCACUCUCUUGCUCUCUCUUGCUCUACUCUCUCUUUCUUUGGUGCCUUCUUUCCAUUCUUGUCAUGUCCUACUUUGCUGAGGUCCAGAAACACAGGAUCUAAAGAACCGUAGGUGAAAGCAUUGGUGAACCACGUGAACACAUCUGAACCUUUCCACCUCUAAGUUGCCUCAGGUAUUUUGUCGCAGCAAUGAAAAGUUGAUGACAUCACUGUGUAUGUCCCUACCUCAAAGUCUUUACAGCUGCCCCCCUUCUACAUCUUGUGCUAUUUCCCAAGUGCUCAGAACCUGUUUCCUUAAUCUUUCUGUAAGAAGUAGGGCUGUUCAGUAGAACCGCCAACUAGUAAACAAGGAGGAAAUGUGUAAUUUCUGUCUAUAAAACAGAUUCUAUUCACUGCUUAUUUCCAAACCAGAGACUAAUGUUGCAAAAGAGAGGUCUCUUUCUUUUGCAUGAAAUGAUGAGUUAUCCCAGGUAUUACAUAGUGUGUACAAUUGAAUCAGGCUUAAUAAUUAAUGGAUUUCCUGGAAAAGCAGAAAACAGGAUGAUAAGCACAAAAACCACCGACCAAGUCACUAGUUGCAUAACAACUACUCUGGGUGAAAUGUAUUAUUUAAAGCUAUUCAAUCACAGCCUUAUCUUUUCUAAUUCUUGCCGGAUGCCUCGGAGUACAAUCAUCUGACUGCAUCUCUGAAACAGCAUUAGAAUUUGGGAAGCAUGUUAAUGAACCCUAACUGCAGCCACUCUGAAGAAAACACCAUUAAUCAUGUCAUCUGAUAAGAGAUACGUCAGGGUAUCUCUGUUUUCUGCCAUAAAUGCUCAAUAGGAUCCCCACACAUGGUUUGAAGGCCUGCUAUCAACCUGCCAUUCUGGUUACUGGAGAAGUUAUAAAAGAAUAUCCUAAAAGUCUUUUGAAAUGUAAGUUUGUAAUUCUAUCAUCUCUGGUGACAUGCUUUUCCGGACAUGAGUUUACAUCUAAGGAAGACAGCUGGGUAGAGAGCUGAUAUCUAGAGAAAUAGGAGACGAGUCUCCAUGAACUUCGUUGACUGCCUUCAGAGAGCAGUAAUAUGUCACAUGAGAAGUGUACCUUCGAAUCCUGUCCAGAGGAGGCUGCUGGCACUCACCUGUGAAACUCAUGCCUUCAGAUGCACAUUUUACGGGGUCUUUGAUUGGGAAAUUGCUUUCCACCUCAGUUCAAUGUUAAUUUACUUAUAAGCAAACAGAAUGUGGCAACACUAUUUCUACUCUAAGAGCAUAUGCGUGUUGUCCUAUUAGUAGUAAUAUUUUCACCAGAACAUUGUCGAACAGCAGCAAGUGAUAACAUUAGUAGGCAGUAAUCAGAAAGUUGACAGCUUUCCUCGCCACUCACAUUUUUCCUUCUAGGAGGCGAGAGAUGUAAAUUGAACGGAACACUUCAGAAAAUGAUGAUUAGCUAAUGCUAGCGCAGGUACCACAUGCAUGCUGAAAUAUUUUUCUAAAAGAAGAAAAUAAACCAGUCUUCUGAA